AGUAUUCCAUUUUAUCCCAUCAUCAGACGUGCAUUGUCGAAAUAAACCACUGUGGAAUAAAUUUUCCUCUAUUUCAGCAGUGCUGAAAUAUAGCUGUCACGCGCGGCGGAGAAUGGUCAUAUUACUCGGAAUCAACUAUAAAGUAAUCAUUUUUAGUAAAAUCGAAUCGAUUCAACAAAACAAACAAUUUGAUACCAAAAUGUAAUAUAUUUUUAACACAUAAUGCAACUCAAAAAGCAAAUAAACAUUAUUUACAAAUAUUAAGUGCGCGUACUCGUGACGUCAUUAUUAACACGUUGAUGACCAUACGACACAAUGCAUGUUGUUUCACGCUAAAGAUGCAGUUGUUAAGUGUCUUUUUUUCCCAUUAUUUCUUAAAAAUCGGGGACGUAGAGGUACAGUAGUUCGAUUUUUCUAUUCUAUUUUUAAAGAAAUAAUUUACGACUAAGAAAAUUGAUGGGAUAAAUGGAAUACUAGGUCGGUGCCGAAUAAAGCAAAGUUUAUCUUGCUCGGCACGAAAAUCUAAACCACACGCAAAGGCUCGUGGUUCAGAUUUUCUAAGCCUCGCAAAAUAAACGUUGCUUUAUUCGGCACCGACCUAGUAUUCUCUAAAUGCCCAGUUUUCUCAGAACGUGACUCAUAUUAAUGUAAACCAAUGUAAAUAUACGAUCUUGCUGUUUAUUCAUGUUUAACAAAAAUUGUUAUUUAUUUCAUUUGUUUAUGUAUUUCUGAAGUCCUUGAUUUGACUUAAUUUGCAAACAUGUUUUGUUAUGCAUGGACUAUUUGAUUAUCAUGUUGAAUUUCUUUUUAUUUAAAUACUGAAAUAAAUGAAUUAUUUAA